AAUGGCUGCCUCAAACCGCGAUCUAAAAAUUUUUGUUCGAAAGAAGAAAAGUGCUCAGUUUCUUGGAAUAUUAAGAUUUGUGUAGAAGGGAAAUACUUGAGUCACAAAGAUUGGCUACAAAAUGCAAGUUUGAGUGUACAAUAAGCAGGGAAUUAUCUAAAUAAAGGUGAAAAAAGGGAAGUUUGACUGAACUUCACGACUGUUUCUACGACAUUUCAAUUCUAUGACAAGACGAGUGAUAUGCUGGACAGGAUGUCAUGGUUCAAUGUCCUGCUAAAGAGAAUUUGGCCAAUAUAGUGUAAAUCUACUUGGAGCAACUAGGCAACUACAUUCAAGUUUCAAUAGCCUGGUAACCCACGGCUAUGUUGAUCCUUUGUAUGCAGAGAGUUCAACCUACAGAUGGGCCGGCCAGUUUGCAUGUCCUUCACGCUUGAAGGUCGCGGGGAACAUAACGUUUAAAAUUGUCAAUGCGGUGGUGUAGAGGUUGGGUGAGGACGACACGUGUUACACCAUUAUUAAGCAGGUAUAAUAGCCGUAAGGCUUAAGAGAGGGGUCAGGGUGAGAAAAAGUCGUAUAAAACGAGAGAGAGAAAAGGCGUUUGAAAUUAGUUGAGUGAGCAUCUACGACACGGCAACAACUGCUGUACACUAUUUGUCAUCAACUGCAUUCUGCAAAGUAAUACCAGUAAGCAACCAAAUGUUAACUAUGGCGUCGUGCUGCUGUUGGAUGCUGUAUCCUUAAUGGUUGGGUCGUCCACUGGUGUACCGAUGUUUCGUGGGUAUGGUGGAUACCAAACCGCAACGCCGGCGUCUUACCACACAACAACAUCAUACGCAACAACCGGAGUACUACACCACCAAGGCCGCUGAGUAUUACACCACAACUUAUAAAGUCCCGAACUACUACAUCGUAGGCUAAAG